rnacentral:rRNA from 1 species
GACGAACGCUGGCGGCGUGCUUAACACAUGCAAGUCGAGGGGGCUGGGGUAACCCGGUCACCGGCGAACGGGUGCGGAACACGUGAGCGACCUGCCCGUCUGCGGGGGAUAGCCGGCCCAACGGCCGGGUAAUACCGCAUACGCACGCCUCUUCGGUGGGGCGUGGAAACCGAUUGAGGGCGGACGGAGGGGCUCGCGGCCUAUCAGCUAGUUGGGGGGGUAACGGCCUCCCAAGGCGAUGACGGGUAGCUGGUCUGAGAGGAUGGCCAGCCACAUUGGGACUGAGAGACGGCCCAGACUCCCACGGGAGGCAGCAGUGGGGAAUCUUGCGCAAUGGCCGACAGGCUGACGCAGCGACGCCGCGUGGAGGAUGAC